AGGGUUCGAUUCUGGCUCAGGAUGAACGCUGGCGGCGUGCUUAACACAUGCAAGUCGAACGGGAUCCAUCAGGCUUUGCUUGGUGGUGAGAGUGGCGAACGGGUGAGUAAUGCGUGACCGACCUGCCCCAUGCACCGGAAUAGCUCCUGGAAACGGGUGGUAAUGCCGGAUGCUCCAUCACACCGCAUGGUGUGUUGGGAAAGCCUUUGCGGCAUGGGAUGGGGUCGCGUCCUAUCAGCUUGAUGGCGGGGUAACGGCCCACCAUGGCUUCGACGGGUAGCCGGCCUGAGAGGGCGACCGGCCACAUUGGGACUGAGAUACGGCCCAGACUCCUACGGGAGGCAGCAGUGGGGAAUAUUGCACAAUGGGCGCAAGCCUGAUGCAGCGACGCCGCGUGAGGGAUGGAGGCCUUCGGGUUGUAAACCUCUUUUGUUAGGGAGCAAGGCACUUUGUGUUGAGUGUACCUUUCGAAUAAGCACCGGCUAACUACGUGCCAGCAGCCGCGGUAAUACGUAGGGUGCAAGCGUUAUCCGGAAUUAUUGGGCGUAAAGGGCUCGUAGGCGGUUCGUCGCGUCCGGUGUGAAAGUCCAUCGCUUAACGGUGGAUCCGCGCCGGGUACGGGCGGGCUUGAGUGCGGUAGGGGAGACUGGAAUUCCCGGUGUAACGGUGGAAUGUGUAGAUAUCGGGAAGAACACCAAUGGCGAAGGCAGGUCUCUGGGCCGUUACUGACGCUGAGGAGCGAAAGCGUGGGGAGCGAACAGGAUUAGAUACCCUGGUAGUCCACGCCGUAAACGGUGGAU
rnacentral:rRNA from 1 species